rnacentral:rRNA from 1 species
AUUGAACGCUGGCGGCAGGCUUAACACAUGCAAGUCGAGCGGGGGAAGGUAGCUUGCUACCGGACCUAGCGGCGGACGGGUGAGUAAUGCUUAGGAAUCUGCCUAUUAGUGGGGGACAACAUCUCGAAAGGGAUGCUAAUACCGCAUGCGUCCUACGGGAGAAAGCAGGGGAUCUUCGGACCUUGCGCUAAUAGAUGAGCCUAGGUCGGAUUAGCUAGUUGGGGGGGUAAAGGCCUACCAAGGCGACGAUCUGUAGCGGGUCUGAGAGGAUGAUCCGCCAUACUGGGACUGAGACACGGCCCAGACUCCUACGGGAGGCAGCAGUGGGGAAUAUUGGACAAUGGGGGGAACCCUGAUCCAGCCAUGCCGCGUGUGUGAAGAAGGCCUUAUGGUUGUAAAGCACUUUAAGCGAGGAGGAGGCUACUCUAGUUAAUACCUAGGGAUAGUGGACGUUACUCGCAGAAUAAGCACCGGCUAACUCUGUGCCAGCCGCCGCCGUAA